GACGAACGCUGGCGGCGUGCUUAACCCAUGCAAGUCGAACGAAGUGGCGAACGGGUGAGUAACGCGUAAUCAACCUGCCCUUCAGUGGGGGACAACAGCUGGCAACGACUGCUAAUACCGCAUACUGAAGGAGGGGAUUGCGGUUGAUUAGCUAGUUGGAGGGGUAACGGCCCACCAAGGCGAUGAACAGUAGCCGGGAGGAGAGGAUGAGUGGCCAAAAUGGGAAGGAGGCACGGCCAAGACUCCUACGGGAGGCAGCAGUGGGGAAAUGUCCGCAAUGGACGGAAGUCUGACGGAGCAACGCCGCGUGAGUGAUGACGGCCUUCGGGUUGUAAAGCUCGGUUAAUCGGGACGCGGUACCGGAAUAGAAAGCCACGGCGAACUACGUGCCAGCAGCAGCGGUAAGUC
rnacentral:rRNA from 1 species